GGCCCGGUAGGCAAACCGGCAAAGCCGCCUGCCUCAGGAGCAGGUGUCUGAGGGUUCGACUCCCUCCUGGGCCA
rnacentral:tRNA from 1 species